GCCCAAUCGAUUUGCGCAUGCACCUCUAACGCAUGGGCCAACCUGGAUAAACGUGAAGAAAGAAGUAUUUGGCUCUGGACCGGGUGCAGAAAGGACCGUUGAUAAAGAUCAUCCACUUGAAAAGCCAAUCAGUAGCUCUGCCCAUCUACACCUCUAACCUGACCCUGAUAAAUGAAACCGAAAGAGACCCGCGCAGCCAAGGUGAUCCAUUACAAGACACUGAGGACUGAGUACAAGCUCUUUGAAGCCAAACAACGGCUGCUGGGGAACUUUGACAUGUUUCUUUCAAACGACCGCAUUUGCCGCCUGCUGUCUUCGCACUUCUACGAGAGAAAGACGAAAGCUUGGAGCCUUUGUCAUUGAACCAGCAGAGCAAGAAGCUGGCCUUGGACAUCCAGAGAACCAUCCAGGGAACAACAAUCUCCAUUUCUAAGAACGGCUGCUGCUGCAUGGCUUGUGUGGCCCACUCUGGGAUGGCUGCAGAUGAAAUAGCAGAGAAUAUUGAUUCAGCUGUCAGCACCAUCGUGACGAAACUACGGGUUAGAAAGGACCGUUGAUAAAGAUCAUCCACUUGAAAAGCCAAUCAGUAGCUCUGCCCAUCUACACCUCUAACCUGACCCUGAUAAAUGAAACCGAAAGAGACCCGCGCAGCCAAGGUGAUCCAUUACAAGACACUGAGGACUGAGUACAAGCUCUUUGAAGCCAAACGACGGCUGCUGGGGAACUUUGACAUGUUUCUUUCAAACGACCGCAUUUGCCGCCUGCUGUCUUCGCACUUCUACGAGAGAAAGACGAAAGCUUGGAGCCUUUGUCAUUGAACCAGCAGAGCAAGAAGCUGGCCUUGGACAUCCAGAGAACCAUCCAGGGAACAACAAUCUCCAUUUCUAAGAACGGCUGCUGCUGCAUGGCUUGUGUGGCCCACUCUGGGAUGGCUGCAGAUGAAAUAGCAGAGAAUAUUGAUUCAGCUGUCAGCACCAUCGUGACGAAACUACGGGUUAGAAAGGACCGUUGAUAAAGAUCAUCCACUUGAAAAGCCAAUCAGUAGCUCUGCCCAUCUACACCUCUAACCUGACCCUGAUAAAUGAAACCGAAAGAGACCCGCGCAGCCAAGGUGAUCCAUUACAAGACACUGAGGACUGAGUACAAGCUCUUUGAAGCCAAACGACGGCUGCUGGGGAACUUUGACAUGUUUCUUUCAAACGACCGCAUUUGCCGCCUGCUGUCUUCGCACUUCUACGAGAGAAAGACGAAAGCUUGGAGCCUUUGUCAUUGAACCAGCAGAGCAAGAAGCUGGCCUUGGACAUCCAGAGAACCAUCCAGGGAACAACAAUCUCCAUUUCUAAGAACGGCUGCUGCUGGUGAGGCCUGCUCUCUGACUUGCAUGGCUUGUGUGGCCCACUCUGGGAUGGCUGCAGAUGAAAUAGCAGAGAAUAUUGAUUCAGCUGUCAGCACCAUCGUGACGAAACUACGGGUUAGAAAGGACCGUUGAUAAAGAUCAUCCACUUGAAAAGCCAAUCAGUAGCUCUGCCCAUCUACACCUCUAACCUGACCCUGAUAAAUGAAACCGAAAGAGACCCGCGCAGCCAAGAAAAAUGCACGCAAACAGAAGUCUGCAAAGAAGGAACAGAAGUCUACAGAAAAAAAACUCUGGUGCUGACGGAGGAAGAUGUUCCCAUAGUAACGACAAGGAAAAAGGCUAAAGUGGAGAAGCCGACCAAGAAGGGACUUGUGAAGGUACUCAAACCAACAGGAGGAAAGGUAUAAAAUAAAAAAUGACCAAGAAGGCUGCAAAAAUACCCUAACAAAAUAUGAAAAGUACCUAAAUCUUAAUGUCUGUCAACUCAGUGGAACACAACUCUCCUUUCUCUUCUCAUUACUAUCUGUGUAUUACUCCGCCUUUCUCUAAAUGGAACUCUGACUUCAUACUGAUAUAAAGGACUGGUUCUAAAUGUAUAUAAACUGUCAGCGUUAAUUGAUCCAAGGACAAACUCAAAUGUGUUGCAAAUCUUUGUCUGCCCCAUAAAAGGGUAUUGUUCAAAAUCAUCUUUUGUAUAAACCCAACUUGUAAAUUAAAAUAUUACCACAAAGUAUA